UGGCGUAGGGAGUUCAAGAGUCGCAUCCUGUGAGGGGGAGCUAAUCUCAAAAAGUCAGUCUCAGUUCGGAUUGAAGUCUGCAACUCGACUUCAUGAAGCCGGAAUCACUAGUAAUCGCGAAUCAGCAACGUCGCGGUGAAUACGUUCUCGGGUCUUGUACACACCGCCCGUCACACCAUGAGAGUUGGUAAUACCAGAAGCACGUAUCUUAACCGUAAGGAGAGAGCGUACCAAGGUAGGAUUAGCGAUUAGGGUGAAGUCGUAACAAGGUAUCCGUACGGGAACGUGCGGAUGGAUCACCUCCUUUCUAUGGAGUUAAUCAUAGUUAAAUAACAAAGCUGAGUGAACGAUAAAACAGCUUUUGGUUUAUAUCUUAGUUCUAUCUAGUUUUCAGAGAUUGUUUUUGUUAAAUCUACAAUGUCUGUUAAAAAAUCGUUCUUUGAAAACUGAAUAUUAGAUGAAUUAGACAAUUUUAUUUUCUUGCGUUUAUUUAUAAACGUAAUAGUAACUUAAAUGUUAACUAAGUAGAAAACUAAAAUUUCAAAUUUUAUAUAGAUUAUCUAUAUUUGCAAUAAGGUUUUUCUUUAGAAAGUAUAGUAAGGGCAUAUGGUGAAUGCCUUGGAAAAUGGAGCCGAUGAAGGACGUGACUACCUGCGAAAAGCGACGGGGAACUGGAAGUAAGUUUUGAUCCGUCGAUGUCCGAAUGGGGAAACCCGUUAUGAUUAAUCUCAUAACAUCUUUAACUGAAUACAUAGGUUAUUGAAGGGAACCUAGGGAACUGAAACAUCUUAGUACCUAGAGGAAAAGAAAACGAAUGUGAUUCUGUCAGUAGCGGCGAGCGAAAGCGGAACAGGCCAAACCGGUCUACGGGCCGGGGUUGUAGGACUCUUGUUAGAGUUACAAAAUUAGUGUAUAGCAGAAACUGUUGGGAAACAGUGGCAUAGAGUGUGAUACCCACGUAUGCGAAAUGCACUAAUCUCGAGAGAGUAUCCUGAGUACGGCGGGGCACGUGAAACCCUGUCGGAAUCUACCCAGACCACUGGGUAAGCCUAAAUACUACCAUUUUACCGAUAGUGAACCAGUACCGUGAGGGAAAGGUGAAAAGUACCCCGUGAGGGGAGUGAAAUAGUACCUGAAACCAUAUGCUUACAAGAAGUCAGAGCCCGUUAAUGGGUAAUGGCGUGCUUUUUGUAGAAAGAGCCGGCGAGUUACGAUAUCAUGCAAGGUUAAGUGGAAUACACGGAGCCGCAGUGAAAGCGAGCCUUAAUAGGGCGUUUAGUAUGAUGUCGUAGACACGAAACCAGGUGAUCUAGCCAUGAGCAGGUUGAAGUUAGGGUAAAACCUAAUGGAGGACCGAACCGACGUUCGUGAAAUGACCGCGGACACACCUUGGG
rnacentral:sRNA from 1 species